GACGAACGCUGGCGGCGCGCCUAACACAUGCAAGUCGAACGAGCGAGAGAGAGAUUGCUUUCUCGAGCGAGUGGCGAACGGGUGAGUAACGCGUGAGGAACCUGCCUCAAAGAGGGGGACAACAGUUGGAAACGACUGCUAAUACCGCAUAAGCCCACGACCCGGCAUCGGGUAGAGGGAAAAGGAGCAAUCCGCUUUGAGAUGGCCUCGCGUCCGAUUAGCUAGUUGGUGAGGUAACGGCCCACCAAGGCGACGAUCGGUAGCCGGACUGAGAGGUUGAACGGCCACAUUGGGACUGAGACACGGCCCAGACUCCUACGGGAGGCAGCAGUGGGGAAUAUUGCACAAUGGGGGAAACCCUGAUGCAGCGACGCCGCGUGGAGGAAGAAGGUCUUCGGAUUGUAAACUCCUGUUGUAGAGGAAGAUAAUGACGGUACUCAACAAGGAAGUGACGGCUAACUACGUG
rnacentral:rRNA from 1 species